rnacentral:tRNA from 1 species
GCCGUCUUAGCUCAACUGGCAGAGCAAUCGACUUGUAAUCGAUAGGUUGUUGGUUCGAUUCCGAUAGACGGCACCA